AUUGAACGCUGGCGGCAGGCCUAACACAUGCAAGUCGAGCGGUAGAGAGGAGCUUGCUUCUCUUGAGAGCGGCGGACGGGUGAGUAAUGCCUAGGAAUCUGCCUGGUAGUGGGGGAUAACGUUCGGAAACGGACGCUAAUACCGCAUACGUCCUACGGGAGAAAGUGGGGGAUCUUCGGACCUCACGCUAUCAGAUGAGCCUAGGUCGGAUUAGCUAGUUGGUGAGGUAAAGGCUCACCAAGGCGACGAUCCGUAACUGGUCUGAGAGGAUGAUCAGUCACACUGGAACUGAGACACGGUCCAGACUCCUACGGGAGGCAGCAGUGGGGAAUAUUGGACAAUGGGCGCAAGCCUGAUCCAGCCAUGCCGCGUGUGUGAAGAAGGUCUUCGGAUUGUAAAGCACUUUAAGUUGGGAGGAAGGUCAGUAGCUUAAUACCUUGCUGUUUUGACGUUACCGACAGAAUAAGCACCGGCUAACUUCGUGCCAGCCGCCGCCGUAAUAC
rnacentral:rRNA from 1 species